rnacentral:rRNA from 1 species
GUACACUCCUGCGGGAGGCAGCAGUGGGGAAUUUUGGACAAUGGGCGAAAGCCUGAUCCAGCAAUGCCGCGUGAGUGAAGAAGGCCUUCGGGUUGUAAAGCUCUUUUGUCAGGGAAGAAACGGUGAGAGCUAAUAUCUUUUGCUAAUGACGGUACCUGAAGAAUAAGCACCGGCUAACUACGUGCCAGCAGCCGCGGUAAUACGUAGGGUGCAAGCGUUAAUCGGAAUUACUGGGCGUAAAGCGUGCGCAGGCGGUUUUGUAAGUCUGAUGUGAAAUCCCCGGGCGCAACCUGGGAAUUGCAUUGGAGACUGCAAGGCUAGAAUCUGGCAGAGGGGGGUAGAAUUCCACGUGUAGCAGUGAAAUGCGUAGAUAUGUGGAGGAACACCGAUGGCGAAGGCAGCCCCCUGGGUCAAGAUUGACGCUCAUGCACGAAAGCGUGGGGAGCAAACAGGAUUAGAAACCCGAGUAGUCCCA